rnacentral:rRNA from 1 species
GACGAACGCUGGCGGCGUGCUUAACACAUGCAAGUCGAACGGAAAGGCCUCUUUCGGGGGGUACUCGAGUGGCGAACGGGUGAGUAACACGUGAGUAACCUGCCCUUGACUUUGGGAUAACUUCAGGAAACUGGGGCUAAUACCGGAUAGGAGCUCCUGCUGCAUGGUGGGGGUUGGAAGGUUUCGGCGGUUGGGGAUGGACUCGCGGCUUAUCAGCUUGUUGGUGGGGUAGUGGCUUACCAAGGCUUUGACGGGUAGCCGGCCUGAGAGGGUGACCGGCCACAUUGGGACUGAGAUACGGCCCAGACUCCUACGGGAGGCAGCAGUGGGGAAUAUUGCACAAUGGGUGGAAGCCUGAUGCAGCAACGCCGUGUGCGGGAUGACGGCCUUCGGGUUGUAAACCGCUUUCGCUCAUGACGAAGCUUUGUGUGACGGUAGUGGGUAAAGAAGCACCAGCUAACUACGUG